GCAAAUAUUAUGUUUGAUAACAAACAUGUCCUCUAUAAAAAAAAUUUACAUAAAACAAGCAUCUAUACAAGUUACUACAAUUAUGUAUGCGUUUACAGUUGUUGGUUAACCAAUUCAUGAAAUUUUGAUCGGUUUUACAUCAACUUAUGCAAAAAAAAGAGUUAAUUGAAAUUCGCCCUUUUAUUGGGUGAUUAUUAUAAUUUGUUUUUAUGUUGGCUCGUUGGAUUUGGUGGCUUUAGACGAUGUUGUUUCCGGCACAGAUUCCGAAUUAUCGACGAUACAGGUUUCCCCGAUUACGUAAUGGAAAACUAUCACUGUACCCACAUCCCAUACUCCGAUGAUAACGCGAAAAGAAUGGUUCGUUUCGCUGUUGCUGAUCCAGAUUGUCCAUACGGCCGCCGCGUAUUUGCCAUGGUGCACACAUUCGGAAUGCUGCAAGUUUUUUCCUACGACGGAGGAACAAUAUUUACAAGAAGGCGAUUGACCAGAUUAUACAAGAACUGGUAGUGUACCAAAUGUGCCGCUCCUGGAGGAAACAGAAAAUCUACAGAAGAACAUGGAUUUUUACCAGAAUGUCACCACCAUUCAGUUCUGCCAGUAAGCAGUUAUACCUAUACGAAUCCCAUCCCAGAUCCUAUCAAUAUGGACCGAGCCGAUGGAAAUCUAACUUUUGGAACAGAAUAUACCCGAAUAAAGAGUAGAAUGCUGAUCAGGAAACGGAGUGGUUCUUUGCAGACCAUUAAAGAUACUAGACCUAGGUGAUCUUGUUCAUGGAAAAUGUAUCCUCAUGUCAAUUCGAGUAUAAAUAAAUGAUCUAGAAAGCUGU